rnacentral:lncRNA from 1 species
ACCAGGACAAUUUAGUAAUUUCAUUGUUGAUGCCAAGUUUAGUUUGUCUUUUUCUGUUACACUUUGGAGUACAGCUGGACAUCAUUUUCUAUGUCAUUUUUGUUCAUCUCAAUUCUCAUAUGUCUGACCUUCAUCUCCAUGUUUGUUUUGCCGGCAUUCCACUCUAUUCAGUCCUGUAUUCAGUAAGCUUUGGCCAGUCUUCGCUUUUCCAGUAGCCUUUCUUUUCUCUCUUCCCCUACUUCUGUUUGGUGGCUGGAAUCUGUUGGUAUACCUCCUUGGCUCUUCUAUGUUUAACUGAGUUUCUUCCUUUCACUUUCAGUCAGAGAAUAGUUUCUUUUUAAUGCAUAGUCAAUUUUAUUGUUUAUUCAUUUUUUUUGUGUUCUUUUUAAUUUUCUAAUUCUUUAGCAAAGUAUUCAUUUUUUUUUGUGUUCUUUUUAAUUUUCUAAUUUUUUAGCAAAGUAUUCAUUUUUUUUUGUGUUCUUUUUAAUUUUCUAUUUUUUUAGCAAAGUCGUUUACAGUUUGAUUUUCAGCGUUUUGGGUAGUCCUGAACUUUUCCGGGUAAGCAUGAUAUGGUACUCUUUUUUCGGGUUGAUAUAUGAUUUUGUUAUUUUUACUACUAACUUUAGUUAUGACUUCUUGAAUUUAAUUUUUGUUGUCUAUUUAUAUUUAGUUAAAAAUGUAUAUUAUUCGCACAUGUAUGUUCAGAAUCGGAUACUCAGAUACAUGUAAUUGUGUAUUAUUUUGGAUAACUGUUUGUUCAAUAUCUUUUUGCCAUUUGAUAUCAAUUAAUUACUCUUAAAUUGAAGUUUUUAAGCAAUAAUCUGAAAUAUCCAGAUUGUUGUUGGAAAUUGGAUCUCUUCCUUGAUUUUCUCUAUAAUUUGUAAUAUAGAUUGAGUAGGUGUAAAUUGGACGAGCAAGACACUAUGACAGGAAGGACAAAAAGAAAAAAAGAGAGAAAUGGUGAUUGUGAGCUAUUGCAUGUUACAUAAUAUAAUGGGGUUGUGAGGUACAAUUUGACACAUCUUCUUGACAAAAUUUGGAGUUGGAUAAUGCAGUGCAAUGCCAUUUAGAAAUGCUAAGAAAUAAUGAAAAGUUUUUAUAGGACUGAUAUUAACUAUAAUUUUAUCUCAUAGUGAUAGAAAUCUGCUUCUUCUGACGGUAAAAGAAUGAAAAUGUGUUAUGAACUAUUAAGUGAUCUCUCUGUUACAUAAGUACUCUGGUCUAAUCUUCUAUUUCACCUUAAUAGGAACUAACCUCACAUUUUGAUUCUUUUCUUCUUCUUCUUCUUAUUUUAGUCUUAACAUCACAUUUUGAUUCUAAAGGAAAUGACUAUCAACUAAUUGGACUUUGAAAAUUCUGAUUUAAUCUUGUACUUGAUCUUGAACCCCUGACUUCCUUAUAAAAGUCGAGAUAUUUAUUCAGUCAUGCAGUAAGCCUUUUUGAAGUACUAAAAGGUCAUUACGAAUAUUUGGGAUACAAGGCACGAGUUGAACACUGUUUCAAAGAGAACUCCUUAAUAUCUGCUGCUGAACAUUCAGAUGUGUAUCUUCAUGACUUAUUUAUUGAUGAAUGCAAGGUAAAUACAUAAAAGAAUGUCCAAUUUAAAAAAUGAAGGAUCUACUUUGGAAAAAAUGAAGCAGGACAAGAGUUUAAGAAAAUAAAUUUAAGUAGGAUCUUCCCUUAAAACAAAUACGUCCUAUUAUCUAAAUAGAAAAUUACAUAAUGCAACCACAUUCUUUUAUUUUGGAUAAUUUUUUCUGCAUUAUGUCUAUUACUAGAUUGUUUGGUGCCUUGGUCCAAUUUGGAAUGUGUGUUCAAUUCAUUUUUUGUUUAGAGAAAGGAUGAUAUUACCACAAGCUCGGGGGGAAAUUCAUUUUCUUUGACUUGCUUCCCCUCUCGCCUUUACGAAUUUAUUCACCACUUACAUUCCUUAUAAUCUCCAAAUAAUCUUUUUCUUGGACUGAUGUCAAUUACCUUACAAUAAAUCCAACGCAUAAUACUGCUGGGUUGCAACACUGUCAUCACUUAAUACUACGAAGUAUGACAUCACCGUAAUGUAAUACUGCAAGGCAUAACAUCAUCGUAAUAUAUUACUGCAGGACGUAAUAUCGACGUAAUAUUGUGGGGCGUAACAUCAUUNNNNNNNNNNNNNNNNNNNNNNNNNAGUUGCUUUGUGAAUAAAUCCAAAGUCUAGGGUAUUCCCCCCUUUAGUCUUUUUGCUCAUAUCAUGACAUGUGGUCGAAAUCUUUCUAAUCUUGCAACUUCUGUUAUGUCCUAUCAUGCAACCUGUAUGACCCUGGCUUUGUAAGUGCACUUAUGCGAUUCAUCUUUCCUUUUUUCUUUUAUCUUUUAGUCAUUAUCUAGGCCUUACUUUGUAUAUACAGGUCUUAAUAGGAUGCCUCUCUGGGCCUCUAUAGGUGUACUGAAGUCCUUUGCUCGAUACUUUGUAGAACUUGCGAAUAUGGCCAUAUUUUAUUUCAUAGAUCUGGUUAUCUAUUCAUAUGACUUUACUACAUUUACAUGGGUUAUACUAUACAAUAAUGUUUACUUCAAUCUAUCUUUACUGAGGUAUGCUUACCAAGCUCCCAGAUACUUUUGUUGCCUAUCCUUUAGGUAUAAUUCCCUAGUCCUUCAAUGAUCCUUCAUUGCCGUUCAUGUUAAGAAUCAUGGCCUAAUCUCAUGUCAUACUUUGUAACUUGUAUCUAACCAUUAUUGAUUCGCCUCAAUGUUGAUUUAUAAUCCUUUACUUUAAGACUUGAAACUUCUUACGUAAUACAUUACCGCUAGGGCUUACGUUGCAUUGAGGAAUAUUUGAAGUGAUUUCCAUAAUCAUAUUUCAUAGUGUCUCCGUGGGAUGCACCUUAUGGGGGUAUCCUAAUUUCGUGCCGCCAGCAAAAAAUUUUCUCCUUCUCUUCUUAAUUUUUUUUUUCAAAUCACUAUUCAAACAAAGGCCCGAAUGUCAUCCUUUAUCUGUCACAAUUAUACCCUCAUUUUAUUACUAGGUUAGCAUUUCAUUCUUUCUAAAUGCUAUAAAUCUUAGAUUCCUUUGAGUUCAUUCAGGCUAUAGUGAGCUUUGUAUAACAUAGAGAAACUGUCUGCUCUUCUUGUUUUCAUGGGCUUAAUCCUAAAGACUUAUCCAUUCUCGUCACCUUUUCACUUGUCUUUCCUCAUCCUUACUCAUGUUUCCUUAAAACUUUGUCGCUCUACAGUACUUUAGCUUACGACCUAUACAUAUCCAUUUAUAAACUUUCCUUCAACUUGCUUGCACCAUAGAUUUUCUUAUGUUAUUCUGGAACGUCAAGCAAGAAAUCACAUCGUCUCCAACUUUUCUCUAUUCUCUUAACUGGAUCUCUGAGUACUUAGAAACCAUAGGCUGGAAGACAUGUCGCCGAAGAUGCCGCUAUCAUUCUCGGUUAUUGGAUCCCCAUGCUUAUAACCUUCUAUCCGAAGUAUGGACUAUUUACAACUUUUUGCAUUUGAGUAGCUCGUACGUUGUUCACUUUUACCAUAAAAUCUCGUAUCAUAUCUUUUAUAUCCUUUAUAACCUCCCUUCCACCUAGGUGUAAUUCACGUCCAUAACAUGAAGCUCUAUUAUAAUACUCGCACCUUUGGUACAUACACAAUCCGGUGGGAGCUUCGUGCUGACUUCUUAUGAGACUGGUACUUCUUCUAACUGGCUUCUUUCUAGAGCCAUUAUAGAUUAUGGUUGUUGUGUUAUUUCCCGUGAACAUCUGAUAUUAAGAGUGAUUCUGUCAUGUUUUUCAGCACAACUUCUAUAAUUUUUCUAGGUCCAUUAAUUAGACUCCUAAUUUACUUAGGUGACGUAAUUCUUUAGUUUCCUCUUCCUUAUGAUCAGCCUUUACAUAGGCUUAAUCUAUCUUCCGAUCUGUGGCUCAUGGUAUCAGUUAUUACCUUAGCUUUUCAUGGGCGUUAUGGAAUAUCUAUGAUACAAUCUUUUAACAAUUCAAUCUUUUGUCUAUGCCCUAGGCUCAAUUCUUUCUUUGAACUUAUAUCGAAGUCUUCUAUAGCUGUAUGAUUAUCAACAAAUAUGUUGCCUGGAUAAUGCUCCAAAAUCUUAAGUGUACCCAUAACGUACUAACUCUGAAUCAUUGAUCGAAUAAUUCCUUUCAUUCCAUCUCAGCUUUCUUUAAACGUGUGCAAUUACUUUUCCUGGUCUUUCUGCCCCUUGAUGCGUCCAUACUUAGCUUAUCUUAGUGCCCACAGUUGCCAGAGUUUUCAUACAACUCAUAUUAUCUCAAAUAUUACUUUUAAUUCUUACUUCCCGUAUCAUUAACCACGAUAGGUGCCAGUUUCCUUUGGAAUGCUUACAAUGUUGUUGCGAGACUGUUGUUACAUGACCAUUUUCUCUCUAGGUCGUUGUGCUUAGGUUGAAUCCUUCUUCCUUAUUUUUCCAGCUAGUCUUUCGUUGUAGUAACUAGGGAGAACCUUUGACUCUCGUAAAGCGGUGAGCUUAUUACGGACCCUUUUGAUGUCCUUACUUGCCUAUAAUCAUCCGUAGUUGCCUACUUCCAUGCCCUUGUACUUGUAUGGUUGCUUCUAAGCUGAUAUCUUAACUUCCUUCCUAGUAGCACAUUCUUUUAUCCCCGUAACACUCAUACGGUACCUUUAACUAUCCCGACUCUUGUUUGAAUAUAUCUCAAGUAUUAUAAUGAUAUUCUCCGAGGCUGAAUUCUCCAUGUUGAGUUCUACUAUGUUUAUCUUACACGAUAUGAUUACUCGUUUGUAACCUCCUGUUUAACCAUAACUGAGAUAUUCCUGACCAAUUACUAACUACUCGUUGGCCCAUUCUCAUAUCAAUAUUCCUCGUAAUCUUUCUUGGGUUAUUUACUUUGUUUUAACUUACGUCUCGUACUGGCUCUUAUUUAUUAAUAACAGCUUGGGCAGGAACCUUUAAUUCCUCUCCUUGACGUCGUGCUUGUACCAAAUCGUAGUGUAUCUGUAAGAUUUGGAUAAGUGCCAUCUCAUUCCUCUUUCAUUUAUCACUUUCUUCCUUUACCAUUCCAUAGUCAUUAGAACCACUUAAUUCUGACUUAAUGCCAUAUUACUCCAUAUUCCCCCCCUUUAGGGGUGUACUAAAAGCUGAAGCCAUGAGGAUCUACCUAUAGAUGUUUUACCUCUUCAUCUUUAGCGUUGUUUCUCAACAUCAAUGAUCCUUACUCGCCUUGCGACAAUUCUUCUGUACCAAGGAUGACAAAUUCCCUUACUCAUGAGGGUGACACUUAGCGUAACUGGCACAUAUAGUUUCUUAAACUUAACUUUGCUCACAUUGCUUGCUCUAGGGAAGCAUAUCCCUGAAUGACUAUUCUAUCAAUUCAUCGUGAAUCUUCUUCUGUGGUCCAUCUAUUACUGCCAGAAGGAAAUCUGAAAUUCCCAUGAUGCCGAGUACUUUCCAAUCAUUCAGUUCCUAAUUCAUAUAUAGUUUAUCUUGUUUACCAGUCCAUACUGAUUUUUGUUACUCUGGGGAUUAACUCUCCCCUCUGGUAGUCGCGUUGGAGUCACGAACUUAUUUCUCGAAAUGAGGAUAUAACCUUAUGGCCUAUACUCUUUCGUUCUCAUAAUGCACAUCACCUUUCGUCUCUUCCUUCAUUUGACUAUAGGUUCUAUAACACUCUACCAUUUUCAUCAAUGUAUCGCACCUUAUUCAUAAGCUUCCUUAUCUCUCUUCUCUUUACUCUGCUAAUAUUUCUGCAUAUCCCUUUUCCUGUGAAAACUUCAAUAUGACAGUCUUUCGCUUUUAGCUUCCUUUUUCUCCAUCCAAUGGCUCUUUGGGUUGCUCAACAUCCUCGCCCUACUAGGGAUGAGAGCCACACUUAAGGUAAUAUUUAUCCCAUCAAGGCUUAUAGUUCAUGUCUUUGUAGUACUCAUAUCUAGCUGUACUAUUUUAGGGUGAACCAUCUGGGUGUUUCACAAGAAGAUUUAUUAGCACAUUUACAAUAUCCUUUAGCAAUGUUAACUAAUACAAACAAUUCAUCCACCAUUUUGGGUUACUUUAAACCCAGCCGGAUCGUGAUGUUAAGUCCUUCUCUUAAACCAUAUUUGUUAGUUCCAUAAUGCAUAACUUAGAUCGGUGUGGCCAAUUGUACAUACUUCUGUUACUGUUGAAUGUAACUCAAAAUACUUAUAUCUCUCUUCAUGAAUGGUAAAUAAGGAUGAUCUUCAUUAGCUGGGUACCUCGUACCCUCUUUCACCUUACUUCCUUUACUUGUUGAAACUUGUAUAUAUCUUAUGAAUCUCUUAUUGUCUUUCACCAUGAAGGUGGGUAGAUAUUCUUGCCUUAAGGCUCCUUUUCCAGAAGUUCACCAAGUUUUUCUGACUCAACUCUUUCACAACCACAUUCAAUGCCUUACCAACCAUCUUUCUAGAUGUAGGCAUCAUCGUAUUAUGAAUAAGAUAGAGUUUAGGAAAAUGAGUUCUUACAACUGAGAUCUACCACACGAUCUAGAGUAAGAAGAAAGAGUGACAGUCCUAAAUACCCUGUAGCCUCCUGCUUAUAAGUGUGGUGCACGACAAACCUAUAAGCAAAACUUUACUAGACAAGGCUUGUAGACAUCCCUAGGAAAGAACUACUCUGAUACCACCUUUGUCACGACCCAAACCGAUGGGCCACGACGGGCACCCAAUACCUUACUCAACUAAGUACCAAUGUAACGUAUCUUUCUUAUUACAUCAUCAUAUACAUGUGACAUACGGGCCUAAUAGGCCAACAUGAUCCUUUAUAAAUUCAAAACAUAGGCCGACAAGGCCGUACAAUCUUUCACGUACACGACAUAUGUCUACAAGCCUCUAAGAAUACAUAGAUGUCAUAAGGGUCAGGACAGAGUCUCGCCAUACCAAACAAUACAUGUCUAAAUCAUACUAACCAAACAAGCAACUCCGAAGCAAAUGGAGCUCACCAACAUCUUCCGUUGAGCUGAUAGCCUACUUGGAGGGCUCUCGACCUGUCUAUCGGGACCUACAGGCAUGAAACGCAGCGUUCCCAGGCAAAAGGAAUGUCAGUACGAAUAAUAUACCGAGUAUGUAACGCACAUAAUUAAAUACAUAAGAGACAUGGAAGACAUAUAGAGUACAUGACUCAACUUGUNNNNNNNNNNNNNNNNNNNNNNNNNUGUGAAUAUAACGUCAUAACCGUUUCUCAUAUCCCAUAUACAUAUAUAAACGUAUAUAACGCCGUUUGAAUUAUAUUUACAUAUAUACGCGUAUAUAACGCCGUUUGAAUCAUAUUUCAGCCAUUGUGGGCAACAUCAUCAUCAUAUACCAGCUGAUCAAGUGGUGGUGCGUAUAUAAUGCCGUAACCUUUUCCCAUAUCCCAUAUACAUAUAUUUACAUAUAUACGCAUAUAUAACGCCAUCUGGUCAUGGGUCAAUGCAAUGAAUGCAAUGCAUGAAAAGUACGUCAAUAAAAUCAUUCGGAAUGUCAUAAGACCAUUUUGCCUCUUGAUCAAUAUCACAAAGUAAAAUCCAUUCAACUUUCGUGUUUUUUAUACCCAUGAACAGAUGAUAAAAUAUUAUGGCACACGAAAAUUCAAGAACAUAGAUAUCUCUAAUACUUCUAUGAAUAGAGUCAUUCAUGGAAUUUGUGCAUUUACACGUUUCGUUCGUAUCGUGUGGAUCAUGCCAAAAGAAAGAAGGGAUAGCCUUAACAUACUUGAAGUAUGAACAACUCCGUAUAAUUAUCCCGUUGGAAAGUUUCGUGGAUUGAACUUAGAACCCAAAAAUCGGAUUUAAGCUUCUGCGCUUUUGAACUUGAGGAACAAAAUUGGCUUGGAUUUACUUGAAGUUGGAAUUAUUUUAUCCCGAAAUACCAAAUAUCAAUGAAAUUCAUUUUCUUCGACUUGCUUCCCCUCUCGCAUUUACAAAUUUAUUCAUCACUUACAAUCCUUAUAAUCUCCAAAUAAUCUUUUCCUUGGACUGAUGUCAAUUACCUUACAACAAAUUCAACGCAUAAUAAUACUGGGUGCAACACUGUCAUAACUUAAUACUAUGAAGCAUGACAUCACCGUAAUGUAAUACUGCAAGGCAUAACAUCAUCGUAAUAUAUUACUGCAGGGCGUAAUAUUAAUGUAAUAUUGCGGGGCGUAACAGGUUUGUGGUGAUUUUUCGUGAGUUUUUUAAGGAAUUGAUUGGGAUGAGUGAUUCUAACCCGGACUUGGUUAAAUUACAUUAAUAUAUCCUUGAUUUAAUUAGUGAUUUUGAUUGAAAAUUUUGAAACAAAAUUAGAAAACUUCUUAGGCCAAUUGUUUUUGGAUUUGAGCGAGAUUUUGAUAUUGGAUUUGAGUAAUUUUGGUAUGGUUGGACUCGUGGUUGAAUGGGUGUUCUGAUUUUAUAAAUUUUAUCGGAUCCUGAGACUUGGGCUCGGGGAUUGACUUUUAAGUUAACUUUUUGACUUUUGAUUAAGAACUUAGUAUUUUCUUGUUGGAUUGAUUUCUUUAGCUCGUAUUGAUUGUAUCGAAUUUUUUGUGGCUAGAUUCGAGGCAUUUGGAGGCUGAUUCGCGAGGCAAAGGUUUAUUGGAGUAGAGAUUUGUAGAGUUUGAAGUAAGUAACACUUCUAAACUUAGUUCUGAGAAUAUGAAACCCCAAAUUAUGUAUUAUUUGAUUGGUUGUUGAGUUGAUGCACAUGCUAGGUGACAGGUGUCUGGGCGUGCACCGUAAGAAUUGUGAUUUGGUCGAUUCUAUGAAACUGUAUAGUUGAAUAAUCUUGUCGUUACCUGCAUUUUCACCAUGUGUUAGAGAAAUUGAACUGCGUGUAAUGUUAGAAAUCCUGCCUAGGCUACAAGUUGGUACUGUUGGGACCCACAUAGGUCGUGUUACAUAUUGAAUUAUUUGCUAAAUUUGUCAUUUUGUACUCAGUCACAACUAUUAUUUGCAUAUUAUAUUUCAGUCUCUGUUGUCCUUUAUUGAUAAAUUAUAUCACCAUUCUCUGGGAUGAUUAUCAUAUUUGUUGAGAGCCCGAGAGACUAGAAAUACUGAUGACUGAGUGAGACCAAGGGCCUGAUUGUGAGGAUAUUUAUGGGAUCGGGCUGCAUAAUGCAACAUGUUAUUUGAUUCAUGCCACUAUUUUCUUAGUAUAGCGCUUGGGCUGGAAUUUUUCCUCUAGAGUCUGCAUAUCCACAGUGAGCACAGGUACCUACAGAGUGCGAGUGCCGAGCUACUGAGAGGAUUGAGUGGUUGUGAGGAGAGAGUGACUAUGAGGAAUGAGUGACUGUGAGGAUGGAGUGAAUGUAAGGACUGAGUGACUGAUAUUUUGAGAGUAUACAUAUGAUUUCAUUACUAUUUUGUACUUCAGUUGGCAUAUAUAAUUGUCAUGUACAUACCAAGAUGUACUAUAUCUUGUUCCAACUGAACUUGACCUGAUUUAUUUGUUAGGGCUUUAACUGUUAAACUUUAAAGCGUGCCUACAUUUCUGUACUGAAAUUUCUAUAAUUGUGUACUUGUAAAGCUCGUCACUAUUUUCAUCCUAAUAGUUAGGCUUGUUACUUACUGAGUUGGUUGUACUCAUGCUACACCCUGCACUUUGUGUGCAGAUCAAGGUGUUUCUAGAUAUGGUGGUUGCUAAUUCUCAGAGUUCAUUUCAUUCGAAAAUAUUCUAGGUAGUUGCCCCGAUGUUCGCAGACCUUGACUUUCCUCCCCUAUCCCUCAGUCUUAUUUAUUUAGUUUUAAUUUUUC